CGGAGGUGGUCUUUUUGAGCAAUCUCAUGCAUGGGAUUGUAACAUUGACAAGGACAAUUGACAGUGGAUAGCAGGCAUCGAAGUUCUUGUCGAAAACCUGAUCAACUUUCUCAAGGAAGAGUACUCUCUACUACGAAGUGUCGAUAAAGAUGCCAAACAGCUCCAGAAACUUUGGAGAUGAUUCAAGCAUACUUGAGUGAGGCUGAGAAGAAAUCCACCACCCAAGCUGUCAAGAUCUGGUUGAGGCAACUUGAAGCUGUGGCUUUCAAUGCUGAUAACGUCAUGGAUGAACUCAACUAUCAUUUUCUCUACCAAAAAGCGAGGCCGGAGAAUAAGUUUGACCACAGGUGUUCUAAAUCCACAUUCAGCGGAAUCGGAUUAAUCCUACUCG